rnacentral:lncRNA from 1 species
CAUUCUUCCAAGUAUCAAGAAAGGGAGCCCUUGCUUCCCUGGAAGAUAUUACGUCCCAGCAAUUCCUCUCCAGUUCCAUGUGACCAUUCCUACUCUGAACCAGUUUUUGAAAGGAAGUCAUCUCACAUGCCACCUUGGAAGGCAGAGAAAUACAGAUAAUCAGAAGGGACAACAAGCGCCUUGACUUCUUUCCCUUUCCUCCUUAGGGAAGACAUUCUUCCAAGUAUCAAGAAAGGGAGCACUUGCUUCCCUGGAAGACAUUUCGUCAGAGCAAUCCCUCCCCAGUUCCAUGUGAACUUUCCUACUCUGAGCCAGUUUUGGAAAGGAAGUCAUCUCACAUGCCACCUUGGAAGUCAGAGAAACACAGAUAAUCAGGUAAGU